UUUUGUGCUCAAUGGAACAUCUAGUCACUGCUGUAAGUGAUUGAAAUGAUUGGGCUAAUAAUUACCAUCUCUGAUGGUAUCAGAACUGUUCGUUCUGCUCUGAUUUUGGAUUGCUUACAGGGUCCAAGUACACGCUAAGUAUGCAGCAUGCACAAUGAUUGGGGGUGUGAUAAAGGUUCUGUAAUAUUUAUUUUGUUUAAAAGGAAAAAAUGAAAGGGUCAGGAAAGAGUUUAUGAAGUAGAGAUUUUUUUUCUGCUACCGCAAUAAUACCCAAGCCUGCUGUGCUCCGCAAACCCAAUAUUACUUCCAAUCUGUUAUAUUGUGAUGGAAAUUACACCACAGAAGCCAGAUCUGGACCGCAAAGAUACGGGAAAUUAUUUAAGGCACUGAAAGGAGCCCCUAUCCAGUGUACUGUUGGUCUGGGUUGUGUCAGCAACCUCUCUCAUCAGAAGCGCCUUCCCCGAGCUUUGUGAAGCCUCAUGGGCUGGGCUAGGGAUGCAGCUUAACAGUUGCCUAUUUACCCGGCAUGCACAAGGCCUGGGCUGGAUCCCAGAGAGUAUCAUGGCGUCGUUUCGAGAGAGGGUAUCAUGGCGUCGUCCUGAGAGAGGGAGGGUAUCAUGGCGUCGUCCCGAGAGAGGCUGUUUCUCUAGAGAACCCUGGCUAACACAGAGGCAGCUAUGAAGAUGAAGGCAGGAUAGGUGUGAUUGAUGCGUCUAUCAACUCAGGUGCCCCAAAGUCCCCAGCAACGCUCCCAGAAGCUGGAGAGAGGCACUGAAUGAUCUCCAGCACCUUCCAAAGGCAACAUCUCUGCAGCACUUGGCUCUUGAACUCAAGCCUGCAGGACUGUGAGGGGGUGCCUCCCUGCUGUUCCAGGUCUUCAGUGUGUGGCACUGAGGGGGAAAUGGAAGUAAUGAAGUGAUGUUAUGAAGUGUUCACCAAUAACAUCCCUUAGAAAAUAUUAAGUUACACAAAAGUAGACUUUAGCUAAAGGAGCAUUGUCUCUGUCCAGGCAAUUUAGAGAAGUCAGCCCUGGCUGACAGCCACUGAUUAAACCUGCAGCCUCUUAUCAGGGAGAGCAUAGGUCUACCAGGAGGGCAGGGUGACCCUGGCUAAUGGCUGCCCUGGGAAAAGCAGCCGCGGUUUGUCUCAGAGAUAACUAUGGCAGUAUUUUUACAUCGUAAAUCUCCCCAUUUGUCCAAACAACCAAGCCGUGGAAUUACUGUCUCUGUAAAAACACCUUUGACUGCUCCAAGUGUAACUUGGGGCUGUGAAGCUACCUAUGUUGACAGGGAUUUCUGUCCCAGGUGGGUUCCCUUCCGUGCAUCAGCCUGAGCCUGUGGUACGCUAUUGUGAAAGAGUUUUUCCUCCAUUAAUCUCUGAGUGCUUGGAGUGAUUCACUGAGAAGGCGCAGUAACAGCACUUAGUUAAACAAAUACACCACUUUGCCAUUUGUGGUCUAGUGUUGCCUCACUGCUAGCUGGAACAGCCAACCCGGAGCUAGAGUUAGGGUGAGCAAUGAAAAGUCCCCAUAGAUACAGACGCGGGAAUACUGGGGUAUCUUCAAGAAUGACAGAGACUUUCUUGGCUCUUGGUGCGCUUUGCUUGGGGGACUAGGGUCCUAGAAAACUUGACAGUGUUGAAAGCCACCCCAAGCUUGUGGGUUCUUAGCUCUUGAAUUUUAAAAGUGAAAUUCGCGGAGCAAGCAGAGAGUGAACAGAACAGAGAAUGAACUCCCCCCCCCACACACACACACACAAAGCAGGUGGCGGGGAAUAGGAUACCACUGAGCAGCGAGCCUGGGGGCUUCUUAAAGGAUUUAUGGUAGAAAUUGGGCAGAGGCCUGGGAAAGGAGAUGAGCUGGUCUGUCCAGUUGGCCCAACCACGAGGUGUCCAAGUGCCUUGCUCAGUUUCAGUCACGUCGUCACACGCAGCCUCUGGGCAGAGGUGCUCAUUUCGUUUAGGACAUGACAGAGAAACUGGAACCCAAACAAUGCACUGACAUUCCUGGCCUCCAGCAAGGAUGUUCUCAGUCGGAACUGUUGCUCUGGGAUCCCUGCCCUGCCUGACCAGUUCCUAUCUCAGUUUCUCAUCAGCACAAAAGCUUUCCAACAUGAUGCAAAGACUACAAUGUUCUGUUAUUUAAAAACAAAACAAACAAACAAAAAAACUCCCCGGGAAAAUAUUUUUUCUAAUUGCCUACUAGAUUUCUAAAAUUGACACAUGCAAUACAUUGUUUUGAAGGACCCUCUAGCCACUAAUACAUUUCACUUUUAACGUUUCGUUUAUUUCUUUUUAAAAUGAAAAUGGUUUUCCUAGGUAUAUAGGUAAAGCAAUAUUUUCCUCAAAUUUUAAGGGGUUAGUAUUGUAUAAUAAUCAGUCCAUUUAAAACAUUCUCUCAGUAUCUUCCAAAUCUUAUGUAUUUGACUUGUUCAGAAGAUGAUCUAUUUUGAGACUA